rnacentral:lncRNA from 1 species
GUGUAUCUAUCUAAUGAGUUGAGCCUUUUUCAACUGAUUUCUAUAGUUCGUUCUUAUGUUAUGUUUCAUCACUGCAAUCAUACCACAUCUUCUGUUUUAUAACACUAACACUUUAUAAAAAUGGCUUUAUUCUGUAAACAUUGUAUUGUUUGUCACAUCUUAUAAAUUAUAUGUACAGAUUUCAUUCGUGAUGUUAACAACCUAAUGUAAGGAUAGGCAAUUUGGGUUGCGACG